rnacentral:rRNA from 2 species
UGGCUCAGAACGAACGCUGGCGGCAGGCCUAACACAUGCAAGUCGAGCGCCGUAGCAAUACGGAGCGGCAGACGGGAGAGUAACACGUGGGAACGUACCCUUUGGUUCGGAACAACCCAGGGAAACUUGGGCUAAUACCGGAUAAGCCCUUACGGGGAAAGAUUCAUCGCCGAAGGAUCGGCCCGCGUCUGAUUAGCUAGUUGGUAGGGUAAUGGCCUACCAAGGCGACGAUCAGUAGCUGGUCUGAGAGGAUGAUCAGCCUCACUGGGACUGAGACACGGCCCAGGGUCCUACGGGAGGCAGCAGUGGG